UACGGGGGGGGCAAGCGUUGUUCGGAAUUACUGGGCGUAAAGGGCUCGUAGGCGGCCAACUAAGUCAGACGUGAAAUCCCUCGGCUUAACCGGGGAACUGCGUCUGAUACUGGAUGGCUUGAGUUUGGGAGAGGGAUGCGGAAUUCCAGGUGUAGCGGUGAAAUGCGUAGAUAUCUGGAGGAACACCGGUGGCGAAGGCGACAUCCUGGACCAACACUGACGCUGAUGAGCGAAAGCCAGGGGAGCAAACGGG
rnacentral:rRNA from 1 species